rnacentral:lncRNA from 1 species
GAUCUCCAACCCCUAUUAUGCAUCCUAUACCCCGUCACCACGUCUUCAGUAACAGAUCCAUAAAUCCAUCCAACUCUAUUACCCCAUUCAGUUUUGUCUUCGUACCAACACGAAAUGACACUGAUUGCUUCAGCAACAGUGGAGGCAUCAAGAAGUUCCCGUGGAAUAGUUAAAGCACCAGGUGGUCGUCGCUUCAGCAACACUGGAGGCAUCAAGAAGUUCCCGUGGAAUAGUUAAAGCACCAGGUGGUCGUCCAUUCUUUACUGCAGGGUGAUCAGCAAGUGGUCUCCCUUGGAAUUCGGCAACCGGAAUCGAAUCAAUGAGGAUACUUGAAUUACCAAACCUUUUAGGAAACAAAGCAAGAUUCAUUUCCUCGUCAUCAA